rnacentral:rRNA from 1 species
CCCUUAGAUGUUCUGGGCCGCACGCGCGCUACACUGAUUCAUGCAACAAGUUUUGUCCUUGGCUGAUAGGCCUGGGUAAUCUUUGAACGUGAAUCGUGAUGGGGAUAGAUGAUUGCAAUUAUCCAUCUUCAACGAGGAAUUCCUAGUAAACGCAAGUCAUCAGCUUGCAUUGAUUACGUCCCUGCCCUUUGUACACACCGCCCGUCGCACCUACCGAUUGAAUGGUCCGGUGAAAUCUUCGGAUCUGAGAGAUGUCUGAUUAAUUUCGGACGCCUUUUGGAAAAGUUGCUUAAACCUUACCAUUUAGAGGAAGGUGAAGUCGUAACA